GACGAACGCUGGCGGCGUGCUUAACACAUGCAAGUCGAACGAAGAGCGAUGGAAGCUUGCUUCUAUCAAUCUUAGUGGCGCACGGGUGAGUAACGCGUAAUCAACCUGCCCUUCAGAGGGGGACAACAGUUGGAAACGACUGCUAAUACCGCAUACGAUCUAAUCUCGGCAUCGAGGAUAGAUGAAAGGUGGCCUCUACAUGUAAGCUAUCACUGAAGGAGGGGAUUGCGUCUGAUUAGCUAGUUGGAGGGGUAACGGCCCACCAAGGCGAUGAUCAGUAGCCGGUCUGAGAGGAUGAACGGCCACAUUGGGACUGAGACACGGCCCAGACUCCUACGGGGGGCAGCAGUGGGGAAUCUUCCGCAAUGGACGAAAGUCUGACGGAGCAACGCCGCGUGAGCGAUGACGGCCUUCGGGUUGUAAAGCUCUGUUAAUCGGGACGAAAGGCCUUCUUGCGAAUAGUGAGAAGGAUUGACGGUACCGGAAUAGAAAGCCACGGCUAACUACGUG
rnacentral:rRNA from 1 species